UACGUAGGGUCCGAGCGUUUGUCCGGAAUUACUGGGCGUAAAGAGCUCGUAGGUGGUUUGUCGCGUUGUUCGUGAAAACUCACAGCUUAACUGUGGGCGUGCGGGCGAUACGGGCAGACUGGAGUACUGCAGGGGAGACUGGAAUUCCUGGUGUAGCGGUGGAAUGCGCAGAUAUCAGGAGGAACACCGGUGGCGAAGGCGGGUCUCUGGGCAGUAACUGACGCUGGAGGAGCGAAAGCCGUGGGGAGCGAACAGG
rnacentral:rRNA from 1 species